AUAAAUCUAGUCAUUCAAAGGAUAAACAGAAG
rnacentral:piRNA from 1 species